AGCAGGAAGGGGAAAAAUUACAUUGGAAGCUCCAGAAAUGCUGGAUUUAUCAAAAUAAAGGGUUAGGUUUUUAUUCCCUCACAAUUCCUUCACUAACCUGAGGUAAUUCUCCUUCUCUCAGGAGCACGGAAGGCGGGGUUUGGCUGUGAGAGGGACGAUUGGUGGAAGGGGCUGCCUUUCUAAGGCGUUCUGAAACCUCAUUGGUCAGUUAGCAAGACGCCUCGCUCUCUUCCCCCCCCCACCUAUUUAAGGCGGGAAAGCAGAACCCGAUCCUCCAAGUCGUACGAAGGGAGAGUCCCAGAUUAAGACUUUGUUUCUCUCUCUGAGGGCGAGAGUUUCUUAUUUCGUAGUACAAUUGGCCCGUCCCUGGGUCACAAACUAUGCGAGGCCUAGUUAUAUGAAACUUUCAGUUCUAUUCCAUCUUGCUUUCCUUUUUUAAAAAAAGUAUUUUCAGACUCCCCCCCCAAAAAAACCACCUCAGCACAAAAGGCUGAAUCACGCCCGUUGUUUCUCCUUAACAUUUCUCAUUUUAAGUACAUUUCAUGAGGUGGUUUUUUAAUAAAAUAUAUGUGGUUGGCCCUAUUAAAGCUAUUUUAAUAAAUUAAUCCUAAGAGACGGCUAGUCAAUUAACAAAACGGGUCUACUCAGAAACAAGCCUGUGGGAAGCAAAGGAUACCAGUGCUUUUACAGGAGGACGCGCCCCCUGACAAGCAUCUUAGGUGAUUGAGCAUCCUGGACUUCAUUUGCCAUCUCAGAAGCAGCUUGACACAGGACAGAUUGCAGAGUUCAUAGAUCAAAGAAGGGGCUCAAUCUCAAGAAGAUCUCAUGGGUCUCCCAUCUUCUCAGUCCUGGAAGCCUGCAACUUUUCUGUUGUCUGGAGGAGGUUGCAUUACUGCCCUGAAGACCAUCCCUGCUUCUUGCACCCUGGGGCGUACAAAACAAAACAGGACCCUUUAAGAAACAAAGUCUUCGGUAGGACAGGGGCUGCGCCAACCUCUUGCCAAAGGCUUCAUCUCCAUCUGUACUUUAUUGGAGCUGAACAUUUAGACAACUCUGUCUAGCUUCCUGCUCCUUGCCCCCCUUUGAGCUAUCCAUGGUGCUAACUCUGUGGUCUUUGUUCCUUAUGAAUCUUGCUCUGCCCACAGUGGAGUUGUGGCAGACAUGGCAAUUCUCUGAGAUGUACCUCACAUCUGUAAAAGCACGAGAACAAGGACCUGUAAAAAAACCUCAUUCAUAAUCUAUGGCAUUUGGAGUACAAUAUUAUAAUUCUGAUGGCUUCUACCUUAAAAAUAAAAAGAGGUGUUAUAUUUGAAAGAGGUGCA
rnacentral:lncRNA from 1 species